GUCCUAGCGGUAAACGAUGGGCACUAGGUGUCAGGGGCUUCGACCCCUUGGCGCCGCCGCUAACGCAUUAAGUGCCCCGCCUGGGGAGUACGGCCGCAAGGUUGAAACUCAAAGGAAUUGACGGGGCCCGCACAAGCAGUGGAGCAUGUGGUUUAAUUGGAUGCUACGCCAAGAACCUUACCAAGACUUGACUUCCCAGUGUAAUCCUUUGGAAACAGAGGACCCCCUUCGGGCACUGGUGACAGGUGGUGCAUGGUUGUCGU
rnacentral:rRNA from 1 species